rnacentral:tRNA from 1 species
GAGGGUGUAGCUCAGUGAUAGAGCGCAUGCUUAGCAUGCACAAGGUCCUGGGUUCAAUCCCCAGUACCUCCA